CUAUCCAGCAUACUAUGUAAGCGUUAUUGUGCACAGCCUUUCACACCUGACAGGAUUAGUGGUUCCUCGGACACAUUGCGCAGCCACGACCCGAACCAGGAAGGAUUUAGAAGCUGUUCUUGAACAUAGGACUAAGUGUUGCUGAAUGAACAUUGAACAUCUAUGAGACGAACUGGACAGACGUGUACGCCAGUGUGACCCGGAGCCUCAGACGCUUCCGCAACCGUCACAUGCACUGCAGAAAGAAUAGGCUAGGAUUCCACGUGCCCGGAUUCAGAGACUGAUUGCUGCUGCUGGUGGCCACACAAGAUAACGUCCACCAGAAAGAUCGACCACUGGGUAAAGACUAUGAUGAAGAUAUUAUUGGGACCUGCUUUGAAGUGUGGACUGAUAAUAGGAAUAAUCGGUCUUGCGGUCCACGUGCACAUUUGGAACUGGGGGGCACUGACGUCAGGACGCCGAGAACUUCAUGUAGCUGAACGGGACAACCGAUUACCCAAGGUGUA